AAAAAACCAUUCUGCAGGAGCCAUAUCACAUGGAGCUCCCAAUAUGAUACCCAGGAUGACAUCAACCAUCACUUACUGGUUGCCGCCUGUGAUAAUGGCCUUAAUGUUGUAUAAAUACGUGGAAGAAAGCUAUUACGCAUCAAAGAGGAAAAAUUUGAAAGAUUACGAAAA